rnacentral:rRNA from 1 species
CAAAGAGGGGGACCUUCGGGCCUCUUGCCAUCGGAUGUGCCCAGAUGGGAUUAGCUAGUAGGUGGGGUAACGGCUCACCUAGGCGACGAUCCCUAGCUGGUCUGAGAGGAUGACCAGCCACACUGGAACUGAGACACGGUCCAGACUCCUACGGGAGGCAGCAGUGGGGAAUAUUGCACAAUGGGCGCAAGCCUGAUGCAGCCAUGCCGCGUGUAUGAAGAAGGCCUUCGGGUUGUAAAGUACUUUCAGCGGGGAGGAAGGGAGUAAAGUUAAUACCUUUGCUCAUUGACGUUACCCGCAGAAGAAGCACCGGCUAACUCCGUGCCAGCAGCCGCGGUAAUACGGAGGGUGCAAGCGUUAAUCGGAAUUACUGGGCGUAAAGCGCACGCAGGCGGUUUGUUAAGUCAGAUGUGAAAUCCCCGGGCUCAACCUGGGAACUGCAUCUGAUACUGGCAAGCUUGAGUCUCGUAGAGGGGGGUAGAAUUCCAGGUGUAGCGGUGAAAUGCGUAGAGAUCUGGAGGAAUACCGGUGGCGAAGGCGGCCCCCUGGACGAAGACUGACGCUCAGGUGCGAAAGCGUGGGGAGCAAACAGGAUU